rnacentral:rRNA from 1 species
AUGAACGCUGGCGGCGUGCCUAACACAUGCAAGUCGAACGAAGCGUCCCGCCCGAAGAUGAGGAGUGCUUGCACAAAUUGAUUCAAUUGGGAUGACUUAGUGGCGGACGGGUGAGUAACGCGUGGGUAACCUGCCUUAUACAGGGGGAUAACAGUUAGAAAUGACUGCUAAUACCGCAUAAGCGCACAGUAUCGCAUGAUACAGUGUGAAAAGCCGAGACGGUAUAAGAUGGACCCGCGUCUGAUUAGCCAGUUGGCAGGGUAACGGCCUACCAAAGCAACGAUCAGUAGCCGGCCUGAGAGGGUGAACGGCCACAUUGGGACUGAGACACGGCCCAAACUCCUACGGGAGGCAGCAGUGGGGGAUAUUGCACAAUGGGGGAAACCCUGAUGCAGCCGACGCCGCGUGAGUGAUGAAGUAUUUCGGUAUGUAAAACUCUAUCAGCAGGGAAGAAAAUGACGGUACCUGACUAAGAAGCUCCGGCUAAAUACGUGCCAGCCGCUGC